GUGCUCACUUCAGCAGCACAUAUACUAAAAUUGGAACGAUACAGAGAAGAUUAGCAUGGCCCCUGCACAAGGAUGACACGCAGAAAUUCAACAUUGGAUACUGAAUU
ensembl:snRNA U6 U6 spliceosomal RNA